GUGCUCUUAGCUCAGCCGGAUAGAGCGUUUGACUACGAAUCAAAAGGUCAGCAGUUCGAAUAUCUUAGGGCACG
rnacentral:tRNA from 1 species